GAUGAACGCUGGCGGCGUGCCUAAUACAUGCAAGUCGAGCGAACGGACGAGAAGCUUGCUUCUCUGAUGUUAGCGGCGGACGGGUGAGUAACACGUGGAUAACCUACCUAUAAGACUGGGAUAACUUCGGGAAACCGUAGCUAAUACCGGAUAAUAUUUUGAACCGCAUGGUUCAAAAGUGAAAGACGGUCUUGCUGUCACUUAUAGAUGGAUCCGCGCUGCAUUAGCUAGUUGGUAAGGUAACGGCUUACCAAGGCAACGUUGCAUAGCCGACCUGAGAGGGGGAUCGGCCACACUGGAACUGAGACACGGUCCAGACUCCGACGGGAGGCAGCAGUAGGGAAGCUUCCGCAAUGGGCGAAAGCCUGACGAAGCAACGCCGCGUGAGUGAUGAAGGUCUUCGGAUCGUAAAACGCUGUUAUUAGGGAAGAACAUAUGUGUAAGUAACUGUGCACAUCUUGACGGUACCUAAUCAGAAAGCCACGGCUAACUACGU
rnacentral:rRNA from 1 species